rnacentral:rRNA from 1 species
GUGAGGUAGUGGCUCACCAAGGCGACGACGGGUAGCCGGCCUGAGAGGGCGACCGGCCACACUGGGACUGAGACACGGCCCAGACUCCUACGGGAGGCAGCAGUGGGGAAUAUUGCACAAUGGGCGAAAGCCUGAUGCAGCGACGCCGCGUGAGGGAUGACGGCCUUCGGGUUGUAAACCUCUUUCAGCAGGGAAGAAGCGAAAGUGACGGUACCUGCAGAAGAAGCGCCGGCUAACUACGUGCCAGCAGCCGCGGUAAUACGUAGGGCGCAAGCGUUGUCCGGAAUUAUUGGGCGUAAAGAGCUCGUAGGCGGCUUGUCACGUCGGUUGUGAAAGCCCGGGGCUUAACCCCGGGUCUGCAGUCGAUACGGGCAGGCUAGAGUUCGGUAGGGGAGAUCGGAAUUCCUGGUGUAGCGGUGAAAUGCGCAGAUAUCAGGAGGAACACCGGUGGCGAAGGCGGAUCUCUGGGCCGAUACUGACGCUGAGGAGCGAAAGCGUGGGGAGCGAACAGGAUUAGAUACCCUGGUAGUCCACGCCGUAAACGGUGGGCACUAGGUGUGGGCAACAUUCC